rnacentral:rRNA from 1 species
GUAGGGNGCAAGCGUUAUCCGGAAUUAUUGGGCGUAAAGAGCUCGUAGGCGGUUUGUCGCGUCUGCUGUGAAAACCCGAGGCUCAACCUCGGGCCUGCAGUGGGUACGGGCAGACUAGAGUGCGGUAGGGGAGAUUGGAAUUCCUGGUGUAGCGGUGGAAUGCGCAGAUAUCAGGAGGAACACCGAUGGCGAAGGCAGAUCUCUGGGCCGUAACUGACGCUGAGGAGCGAAAGCGUGGGGAGCGAACAGGAUUAGAUACCCUGGUAGUCCACACUGUAAACGAUGAUUACUCGAUGUUGGCGAUACACAGCCAGCGUCUUAGCGAAAGCGAUAAGUAAUCCACCUGGGGAGUACGCCGGCAACGGUG